rnacentral:rRNA from 1 species
AUAGAGCUCAGAGCUGCAUAUCAAUAAGCGGAGGAAAAGAAACUAACAAGGAUUCCCUAGUAACGGCGAGUGAAGCGGGAAGAGCUCAAAUUUGAAAUCUUCAAGGUUUCCCUUGACGAAUUGUAGUUUAUAGAAGUGUUUUCUGUUAGUAGAGUGGUAAAAGUUCUUUGGAAUAGGACAUCAUAGAGGGUGAGAAUCCCGUAUUUGGUCAUUCUUUCUAGCUUUGUGAUACACUUUCAACGAGUCGGAUUGUUUGGGAAUGCAGUCCAAAAUGGGUGGUAAAUUUCAUCUAAAGCUAAAUAUUGGCGAGAGACCGAUAGCGAACAAGUACCGUGAGGGAAAGAUGAAAAGAACUUUGAAAAGAGAGUUAAACAGUACGUGAAAUUGUCAAAAGGGAAGCGUUUGACACCAGUGUUGUUUUUCCGAAAAUCAAUUAAGAAUGUUUUAUUUUUGAGGAGUUAUGACUUCAUCGGCUUGCUCCUCUCUUUAUGGAACUUUCUUAAUGCACUUUUCGGUUAACAAGUCAACAUCAAUUUCUUUUGUUGUAAAAGAGUAUGAGGAAGGUGGCUUUCUUUUCGGAGAAAGUGUUUAUAGCCUUGUGCCUCUGCAAUCGGAGAGAUUGAGAUCUGCAGCGUAGAUCCUUCGGGGUUAGAUACGUUUGUGCUAAGUUAUAGCUUUUCAUAGACAACUUGUUGACUAUGUUUAGUCUUGUAGCUUACUCGCUGACGCUAUUUUACCUACGCUUAGGAUGUUGAUAUGCAUGACUGAUAU